rnacentral:rRNA from 1 species
UACGUAGGGUGCAAGCGUUGUCCGGAAUUAUUGGGCGUAAAGAGCUCGUAGGCGGUUUGUCGCGUCGAAUGUGAAAACCCGGGGCUCAACCCCGGGCCUGCAUUCGAUACGGGCAGACUAGAGUUCGGUAGGGGAGUCUGGAAUUCCUGGCGUAGCGGUGAAAUGCGCAGAUAUCAGGAGGAACACCAAUAGCGAAGGCAGCUCGCUGGGACGUUACUGACACUGAGGCGCGAAAGCGUGGGGAGCGAACAGG